AUGAUGCAUUUCGACCGUAUCCUCGAGACGGUGGAUCUGUGGUUUGCAACAGACUUGAAGAAGAGUCUUUGGGUUAAGAAACACAGUGUGCCACGAGAAUUGCUACUGCCGUAUCAGCAGAUGUCUAUACACAGAGGCACAAAGCUGCUGAUGGCGUUAGAUGGCGAAAGGAUCGUCUUUUCCUGCAUUGCGGAUGCCUGGACACCGGAAGGGCCACGCUGGGUUACACGGAUUUAUGAUUCUAGGACCAAGGCCUGUACUGAUGUGUCGCACCAGCUUGGUGUUCGUGCUAUUGUUGGUGUAUACAGAGAAAGUUUUUCUAUGCUUGGGGAGUGA
rnacentral:rRNA from 1 species